CUCCGCCCUCGGGCCGUGAGGGGCCGGGCGGCGGGGCCCGCGCGCCGCUCCCGGGGCAGGAGCGGGCUCGGCAGGGCGGAAAGGGAACAGCGCCGUCCCGGAGCCUGGCGGGACCACACCACCAUCGCUAAGGAGUACUUCCAAUUCCCUGCCACUGGCCAGGGCGCCUUCCAGGUUGCUCAGAGCCCCAUCCAAACUGGCUUUGAACGCCUCCAGGCCUGGGCUAGCCAGAGCUGCUCUCGUUUGUACCCAUUAGUCGUUGUCCUGUCACUACUACAGUUCCUGACAGUCCCUGUCUGGCUUCCUUAGAGCUCCCCUUCAGAUACAGGAAGGUUUCCAUGAGGUCUUCACACAAAUUUCUCCAGGCCUGAAGAGCCCCAGCUUUCUCAGCCUGUUGUCAUAGGCUGUGCUCCCCUUGCUCCAAGGGCAUGGUAAUGCUCAGCUCAGACUGGCGACACGGAGACUUCCACAGCUGACAGAAGACACCGAUCACUAGCCAAGUUUUUACUGCUGUGCUUUGUAAACCUUGUAAUCAGGUGUGGCUGCCAGGGUUGCCCAGAGCCACCCCGAUGCUGCAGCUUUCCCUGAGCAAGGGCUUUGCAUGGGAGGGGUGAAAAGUGUUCUACAACACAAUAACAUUUCGCAACAGUCCUCAAGAGUGUGAAUUUCUACAAGGGAAAAAAGAAAAAGGAAACAAAUUCAGGGCCUUUCAGGGCAUCUUUGUAGACUGCAACAAAACUAGAUGAAAAACGUGAGAUUUUCCCCCUCGCCAAACAUCUCCUGCCAAUCAUCUCACAAAUUAACAGGUGUGGAGGUAGACUUCAGCACAGUGAUGAUUAUUCCUUCAUUUCAUUCCAACAGCUGCACUUGGAAAAUAUUUAACAGAAGCCAUUACCAUCUACUAUGUUGAAAGGGUAACAAUCAACACUGUAUUAUGAUUCCUGGAUAAAGAACCUUUUACAUCUUGGCCUUUAA